GACUCCGGAGAGGGAGCCUGAGAAACGGCUACCACAUCCAAGGAAGGCAGCAGGCGCGCAAAUUACCCAAUCCCGAUACGGGGAGGUAGUGACAAGAAAUACCGAUUCAGGAUCUUAUUGGAUCUUGAGAUUGGAAUGAGUACAAUUCAAACCCAUUAACGAGGAACAACUAGAGGGCAAGUCUGGUGCCAGCAGCCGCGGUAAUUCCAGCUCUAGUAGCGUAUAUUAAAAUUGUUGCAGUUAAAACGCUCGUAGUUGAACUUUGGGCUUGGCUGGCUGGUCCGCCUCACCGCGAGCACUGGUCCGGCUGGGCCUUUCCUCUUGGGGAUCCACAUGCCCUUCACUUGGGUGUGUUGGGGAACCAGGACUUUUACUUUGAAAAAAUUAGGGUGUUCAAAGCAGGCAUUUGCUCGAAUACAUUAGCAUGGGAUAAUAGAAUAGGACGUGUGGUCUUAUUUUGUUGGUUUCUAGGACCGCCGUAAUGAUUGAUAGGGAUAGUUGGGGGCAUCGGUAUUCAAUUGUCAGA
rnacentral:rRNA from 1 species